rnacentral:rRNA from 1 species
CUAAGAAUAUUCCGCAAUGGACGAAAGUCUGACGGAGCGACGCCGCGUGGAUGAAGAAGGCCGAAAGGUUGUAAAGUUCUUUUGUUGGGGAAGAAUAACCAUGGGAGGGAAUGCCCGUGGGAUGACAUGAACCGACGAAUAAGCCCCGGCUAACUACGUGCCAGCAGCCGCGGUAACACGUAGGGGGCGAGCGUUGUUCGGAAUUACUGGGCGUAAAGGGCAUGUAGGCGGUCUUGUAAGCUUGGCGUGAAAGACCACGGCUCAACCGUGGGAUUGCGUUGAGAACUGCGAGGCUUGAGUGACGGAGAGGGAGCUAGAAUUCCUGGUGUAGGGGUGGAAUCUGUAGAGAUCAGGAAGAAUACCAAUGGCGAAGGCAAGCUCCUGGCCGAUGACUGACGCUGA